UACCAUAUACAUUAACAAAUAUUGAAUGCAAAUUAAUCAAUGAUAUCAAUAUAUAUACAUGAUCGAUAAAUAGAUAAGAGAAAAAUUGAUAGGAUGUUAAGCAUUAAACCUCUUGUUCCAUCGAGUGGAUCAUGCUGAGGAGUCGUAUGCUUUGAUCCAUCCUUUUCGAGACGAUUAAAGAAGAGAAAAAUGGUUUUGCCAAGAGAAAGGAGAUUGUUUUUUUCUUCGAAUCUGCAGUGCUCACCAAAGCGGCAGAGAGUUAUAAUGAGUUUAGUAUUUAUAACAGAUUGCUAAUAAUCUAGGUCAUUUCUAGUGAUUGAUAUUUAGGUUAUCAAUAUUGUAU
rnacentral:lncRNA from 1 species